AUUGAACGCUGGCGGCAGGCCUAACACAUGCAAGUCGAACGAGUGGCGGACGGGUGAGUAAUGUCUGGGGAACUGCCCGAUGGAGGGGGAUAACUACUGGAAACGGUGGCUAAUACCGCAUACUAUCGAAUGAACCCAGAUGGGUUUAGCUAGUAGGUUGGGUAAAGGCUCACCAAGGCGACGAUCCCUAGCUGGUCUGAGAGGAUGAACAGCAGAACUGGGACUUGGACGCGGCCCAGACUCCUACGGGAGGCAGCAGUGGGGAAUAUUGCACAAUGGGCGCAAGCCUGAUACAGCCAUGCCGCGUGUAUGAAGAAGGCCUUCGGGUUUUAAAGUACUUUCAGCGGGGAGGCGUUACCCGCAGAAGAAGCACCGGCUAACUCCGUGCCAGCAGCCGCGGUAAUUC
rnacentral:rRNA from 1 species